rnacentral:rRNA from 1 species
UACGUAGGGUGCAAGCGUUAAUCGGAAUUACUGGGCGUAAAGCGUGCGCAGGCGGUUUUGUAAGUCUGACGUGAAAGCCCCGGGCUUAACCUGGGAAUUGCGUUGGAGACUGCAAGGCUUGAAUCUGGCAGAGGGGGGUAGAAUUCCACGUGUAGCAGUGAAAUGCGUAGAUAUCAGGAGGAAUACCGAUGGCGAAGGCAGGUCUCUGGGCUGAUACUGACGCUCAUGCACGAAAGCGUGGGGAGCAAACAGG